rnacentral:rRNA from 1 species
GAUGAACGCUAGCGGCAGGCUUAACACAUGCAAGUCGAGGGGCAGCGAGGUAGCAAUACCGUCGGCGACCGGCGCACGGGUGAGUAACAGGUAUGCAAUCUGCCUCUAACAGGGGGAUAACCCGUCGAAAGACGGACUAACACCGCAUAAGACCACGGGAUGGCAUCAUUUUGUGGUAAAAUAUUUAUAGGUUAGAGAUGAGCAUGCUUAUCAUUAGGUAGUUGGUAGAGUAACGGCCUACCAAGCCGACGAUGAUUAGGGGUUCUGAGAGGAAGGUCCCCCACACUGGUACUGAGACACGGACCAGACUCCUACGGGAGGCAGCAGUGAGGAAUAUUGGUCAAUGGGCGCGAGCCUGAACCAGCCAUGCCGCGUGAAGGAAGACGGCCCUACGGGUUGUAAACUUCUUUUGUACGGGAACAAUAAG